UAUUGUCCAUCCAAAUUCAUCGUUAAUUCAUCCAUAUUCAUAUAGCUUCUGAUUUCUUAUUAAAAUUGAUGAGUAAGGUCGAGUUCAUGUUGAGGGAAAAGUUAGUAAUUAUUGUCUCUUAGAGAGAGAAUUCUCUCCUAUUUGGAUUAUCAUUCUUUCUUCCUCUUGGAUAGUCGAAUCGAUUUUUUUUUUCUCUAAGGGCCUUUCUCUUCUCUUUGAGCGGAGGAGGGUCCUCCCCUUCCCUUGAUUUGGAGGUGGGCAGCCCUUCUCUACCUCAUAGUUAGGGUGUUCAUGCUCCUUUUGUCUUGAGUAGCAGAUUGUGGCUAUUCAAUGAAGAACAUCUUGUGAUCGAUUGUGUUGUGUUUUGGAGGCAGCUUCUGUUGGAGCACAGAGUUGAAGCCUUUGGUUCCCGAGAGAGGAAACCGAUGGGGGUUAAAUUACAAUGGAGAUAGGUUCUAGUUGUUGUCUAGCUCCCCCAUUGAAGAUUGACUCUGCUUUCUUGUAUUUGUAAGUGGCCUAAUGUUUUGUAGUACCAGCGCUUGGGCUAAAAGGGACUCACUAUUUUCUUGGGUGAUAGAGAAGAGGUGACUUAGCUAUUAGAGUGUUUAUUUUUUAUUUGAUCUGAAUGCUUGUGAUGUUUUCAUAUCUGUGCUUUUGGGUGUGGCUUGGGCUAUGUUGUUUCCCUUGCUUUCUGCUAUUCGGCGAUACUGGUGAUUUUGGUUGUGUUUUGGGUACUUCUCUAAGUUUACAAGUGAUGCGACUGUAAUGAGGCUAGGGUGAAGGAAUCUGUGGAUCAUUUGGUUGGAGUUUAGUUUUUGGAGUCUUUCUUCAGAGCUAAUCAUAGGUUUGAUGGCUUGUAUUUUAUUGUUUUGAACUUAGAAACAUAGCCUACCUCCUUUUUCUUUAAAUUAAUGAAA
rnacentral:misc_RNA from 1 species